rnacentral:rRNA from 1 species
GUGGGGAGCAAACAGGAUUAGAUACCCUGGUAGUCCACGCCGUAAACGAUGUCGACUUGGAGGUUGUUCCCUUGAGGAGUGGCUUCCGGAGCUAACGCGUUAAGUCGACCGCCUGGGGAGUACGGCCGCAAGGUUAAAACUCAAAUGAAUUGACGGGGGCCCGCACAAGCGGUGGAGCAUGUGGUUUAAUUCGAUGCAACGCGAAGAACCUUACCUACUCUUGACAUCCACGGAAUUCGGCAGAGAUGCCUUAGUGCCUUCGGGAACCGUGAGACAGGUGCUGCAUGGCUGUCGUCAGCUCGUGUUGUGAAAUGUUGGGUUAAGUCCCGCAACGAGCGCAACCCUUAUCCUUUGUUGCCAGCGAUUCGGUCGGGAACUCAAAGGAGACUGCCGGUGAUAAACCGGAGGAAGGUGGGGAUGACGUCAAGUCAUCAUGGCCCUUACGAGUAGGGCUACACACGUGCUACAAUGGCGCAUACAAAGAGAAGCGACCUCGCGAGAGCAAGCGGACCUCAUAAAGUGCGUCGUAGUCCGGAUCGGAGUCUGCAACUCGACUCCGUGAAGUCGGAAUCGCUAGUAAUCGUGGAUCAGAAUGCCACGGUGAAUACGUUCCCGGGCCUUGUACACACCGCCCGUCACACCAUGGGAGUGGGUUGCAAAAGAAGUAGGUAGCUUAACCUUCGGGAGGG